rnacentral:lncRNA from 1 species
UUUUUGUUAAAAUGUUUCGUAUUUUCAUUUGGAAAAGUAGAGAAAUGAAUUGGAAAUGGACCUUGAGAGUUGGAGUGUUGACAAAAUAUCCGCUUUCAAAAUAUCUACUUUUUGGGUGAAGUUUUUUUCUAUUUUGGAUUAAAUUUCAAUUUCAUGCUUCAUUUUUUAUUCUCAUUUAUAUUGUUCUCUUUUUAACGGAGAGAGAGAGAGAUAGAGAGAGAGAGAGAGAGAGAGAGAGAGAGAGAGACAGAGAGAACAGUUUCACAUGAUUUCGUGGAAUAAGUAUAUCUGACUAGGUGCUUACGUUGAUAAUUGUAUUAUCUAAUGUUUACAUUCAAGUUUAUUAAGGUAACUCUUUCUUGUCAUACAUUACGGAACUCUAACUUUUUAAUGAAAUAAUAAUUUUUUUAGUUUUUUGCAAAUGAAUUACAUAUCAUCUUUCUCUGUUGUGUUAUAUGCUUAGUUUGAAAUAUUUCAAAAUAUGAAAUUUCUCAAGUUUG